rnacentral:rRNA from 1 species
AAUGAACGCUGGCGGCGUGCUUAACACAUGCAAGUCGCACGAGAAAGCCUUGGCUUGCCAGGGCGAGUAAAGUGGCGCACGGGUGAGUAACGCGUGGGUAAUCUACCCCCGAAUUUGGGAUAACAGUUCGAAAGGAUUGCUAAUACCGGAUAACAUCAUUAUUUCUUCGGCGAUUUUGAUCAAAGGUGGCCUCUACAUGUAAGCUACUGUUUGGGGAUGAGCCCGCGUACCAUUAGCUAGUUGGUAGGGUAAAGGGCUACCAAGGCGACGAUGGUUAGCUGGUAUGAGAGGAUGAUCAGCCACACUGGAACUGACACACGGUCCAGACUCCUACGGGAGGCAGCAGUGAGGAAUUUUGCACAAUGGGGGAAACCCUGACGCAGCAACGCCGCGUGAGUGAUGAAGGCCUUCGGGUCGUAAAACUCUGUCAAGUGGGAAGAACCUAUGGAGGGCUAAUAUCCCUUUGUACUGACGGUACCACUGAAGGAAGCACCGGCUAACUCCGUGCCAGCCGCCGCUGUAAUAC